rnacentral:rRNA from 1 species
CGUGCGUCGCAUAGCACGUAUUAAAUGCGCGUUUAGGGGUGAUAGGCUUUUCAAACGUUCGUAUAACUUGUUUCAUAUGAAAAGUAUUUAGUACCUAAACAAAUUUGAAAAGUUAAGCUUUUAAAUUAUUAUUAAAGAUAUUAUUCCCUUGUAGUGUAGUUUAAUAGCUAUCUACAUAGUAACUUAACAUUAAUUAUGUUAGUUUAUAUAUUAUAGUAUGACGCUAGCAAUUUUGUUAAUAAAUUGAAAAUGUUAGUAUUAGUAAUAUUAGUAUAUGUGCUAAAGGAACUCGGCAAAAAACCGCUCAACUGUUUAUCAAAAACAUAGCUAUAUGAAUUAGUAUAUAGUUGUUUCUGCUCAAUGACUUAAAUAGCCGCAGUACUCUGACUGUGCAAAGGUAGCAUAAUCAGUUGGCUUUUAAUUAGAGUCUGGUAUGAACGAAAAUAUGGGUAGUAACUGUCUUAGCACAUUUCUUUGAACUUAUUAAACAAGUGCAAAUGCUUGUAAUUAAACAAUAGACGAGAAGACCCUAGAAACUUGGACAUGUUUUUGUUGGGGCGACAGAAUUACAUUUAACUAAUCUUCUAAUACAUGACGCGAUGCUGAAAGAAUAAGUUACUCUAGGGAUAACAGCAUAAUUUCAUUAGUUUGUGACCUCGAUGUUGGACUAGGUACUAUACCCUUAAGGCAAGGAUAUAUUGUGCUCUGUUCGAGCAAAAUUACCUACAUGAUCUGAGUUCAGACCGG